CUAGGGCAAUACAAAACUUAGCUAUCUCAAAACUGAGUACUAUUGACAAGUGCAGCUUAUGUUCAUUUCUGAGUAUUAUUGACAAGUAAAACCAUUAUUGUCUUGGUCUGAAUUCUAUCACCAAAACGACUAGUCUCUAUUUUGAUAGCAUGUUACUGUUUUCGUAAAAACCAAUUUGGUGUACCUAAUCCCUUGUUGAUUUUGUUGUAUACAAGGUUGAAAAACUUUGGUCCCCACGAGAAGAUUGGAACUGCGUAGUAAAACAAAUAGUGCAUGAUUUACAACACCAAGAUUCCAAACUACUCGGUAAAUAUUCUUGCAAGCUUAGGGUAAGCUUUAUAAGAAAUGAUGGCAACAAAAAAUGUCAAUUACUAAGCAUGACUCUCGAAGACUAGAGUAUGAAGCUUGGAAAUAAGGUUUCACCCGCCAAAAAGAAAACAAUUCACUAUUCAUUAUUUAAUACUAUA
rnacentral:sRNA from 1 species